rnacentral:rRNA from 1 species
CCCUUAGAUGUUCUGGGCCGCACGCGCGCUGCACUGAUGCAUUCAACGAGUGUACCUUGGCCGAGAGGCCUGGGCAAUCUUUUGAACGUGCAUCGCGAUAGGGAUAGAUUAUUGCAAUUAUUAAUCUUGAACGAGGAAUUCCUAGUAAACGCAGAUCAUCAAUCUGCAUUGAUUACGUCCCUGCCCUUUGUACACACCGCCCGUCGCACCUACCGAUUGGAUGGUCCGGUGAAGCCUCGGGAUUGUGGCGGUUGCCUUUAUUGGUGGCCGCCGCGAGAACUUGUCUAAACCUUNUNAUCUAGNGGAAGGUGAANUCGUANCA